AAUUAUUGGUCUAAUUGGACAGAAAUUGGUGACAUAAUCUGAUGGUAUAAAUGCACUAUUCUGACCACUCCUUAUCUACUGGUCCCUGGUCCACUAUGAUGGUCUUCAGUCUGAGAGCGGGCAGAAUGCAGUUUCUGGCAACAGCCAUGCUCUGAAGCAGAUGUCACCGCAACGGGAGGGACGGAGGACGAGCCUGUCUGCGCAGAGGGUCACCAAAUGUUAUUACAUGUUAGAUAUAUUUUAUGUAAUUCAAUUAUUUAUUUUAAAAAAAAGGUGUAUUUUUGAUUUUAAAAAAAGUAAUAUAUUUUUUUUUUUAAAUAGCACAUAAGGACUUUUAGAUUUAGUUUACAAUAACCAGAGGUCGCAAUAACACCUGUACAAGCGUCGCCUGUUCAGGCCAUUUUACUACCUGGAAAAAGUCUAAGACGAACCAAUACACCUUAGACUUUUCCCUGCUUUUCAUCAGCAUGAGGCGCUAUGAACGGCACAGGCAGCACAGCGAUGCUGCCUGCAGUAACCAAUAGCAAAGCUCCAGACAGCAAGAAGCUUUGCUAUUGGUUAGUAUGGGCAGGCGCAGGAGCGAUACAGGUCCUGCAUCAGGGGAAGCCGGCGGGCGCUGGAAGGAGGAGGGGCUGGCUCCCGGGGGAUGUUUGAAUAUGGAGUGCCGGGCGCGCUGCACAAGGACCCUGGCGGCUGUGGAGCUAAAGACUGGGCCCUGACAUGAAGGACACAGAACAAGGUGACAGCAGUGUGUAACGUAACGAUGUGUGUGAUGUAUGUAGUGCAGUGUGUGAUCAUCACACACAUGUAUACAUCACACGCUGUCCUACAUACAUCACACGCUGUCCUACAUACAUCACACGCUGUCCUACAUGCAUCACACGCUGUACUACAUGCAUCACACGCUGUACUACAUACAUCACACGCUGUACUACAUACAUCACACGCUGUACUACAUGCAUCACACGCUGUACUACAUGCAUCACACGCUGUACUACAUGCAUCACACGCUGUACUACAUGCAUCACACGCUGUACUACAUGCAUCACACGCUGUACUACAUGCAUCACACGCUGUACUACAUGCAUCACACGCUGUACUACAUGCAUCACACGCUGUACUACAUGCAUCACACGCUGUACUACAUGCAUCACACGCUGUACUGUAGUAAAUGCAGAUGGGCUAUUAUAGCCGAGUGGUAAAGUAGAGGGAAUUAUUUCUAUUGUUCUGCUCAUCUAAUGGAGCAGAACAACGAAAAUAAUGGAAGCGCUGGAUCGGGCAUGUAAGGGUUUUUGUCAUACGAUCAGGACUCUGCAGGAUGGGAAAGUGGAGUAUAGUUUUUUCCAUCCUGCAAAGUCCAAC